CAGCCGCCGCGGUAAUUCCGAGGGUGCAAGCGUUGCUCGGAUUUACUGGGCGUAAAGCGCACGCAGGCGGUCCGCAAGGUCGGGUGUGAAAGCCCGGGGCUCAACCCCGGAACUGCACACGAAACCGUCGGACUUGAGGUCGAGAGAGGAGGGUAGAAUUCCUGGUGUAGAGGUGAAAUUCGUUGAUAUCAGGAGGAAUUCCGGUGGCGCAGGCGGCCCUCUGGCUCGAUUCUGACGCUCAUGUGCGAAAGCGUGGGGAGCAAACAGGAUUAGAUACCCUGGUAGUCCCCGCUGUAAACGAUGAAUGCCAGGUGUUGGAGUUUCACCCCUUCAGUGCCGUCGCUAACGCUUUAAGCAUUCCGCCUGGGGAGUACGGUCGCAAGAUUAAAACUCAAAGGAAUUGACGG
rnacentral:rRNA from 1 species